GACAGUAUGGUGUAGUGGUUUGAGUGCUGGCCUGCAACUCUGGAGGCCAGGGUUCAAAUCCUGGCUCGGUUA